rnacentral:pre_miRNA from 1 species
AAUAAACGAAUUUAUGAGUUUUUAUAGAAUAUUUUGACUCUUCAUCUUAUUUGAAAAAAAUUAUGAUUAAUAUUUUUAUUGGUAUUACAUGAUAAAACAUGAAUUGUACUUCACAUGUGACUAAUUUUUUUUAAUUUUUUAAAUAAGACGGAUGAUCAAACGUUACAUACACAAAACUCAGA